rnacentral:rRNA from 1 species
CCUACGGGGGGCAGCAGUGGGGAAUAUUGCACAAUGGGCGAAAGCCUGAUGCAGCAACGCCGCGUGAAGGAAGAAGGGUUUCGGCUCGUAAACUUCUAUCAACAGGGACGAAAGAAAUGACGGUACCUGAAUAAGAAGCUCCGGCUAACUACGUGCCAGCCUCCGCCGUAAUACGUAGGGGGCAAGCGUUAUCCGGAAUUACUGGGGGUAAAGGGUGAGUAGGCGGCAUGGUAAGCCAGAUGUGAAAGGCUUGGGCUUAAACCGAGGAUAGCAUUUGGAACUAGCGAGCUAGAGUACAGGAGAGGAAAGCGGAAUGCCUAGUGUAGCGGUGAAAUGCGUAGAUAUUAGGAAGAACACCAGUGGCGAAGGCAGCUUUCUGGACUGAAACUGACGCUGAGGCACGAAAGCGUGGGGAGCGAACAGGAUUAGAUACCCUUGUAGUC